rnacentral:rRNA from 1 species
UACGAAGGGUGCAAGCGUUACUCGGAAUUACUGGGCGUAAAGCGUGCGUAGGCGGCGCGGGAAGUCCGUGGUGAAAGCCCGAGGCUCAACUUCGGGUCGGCCAUGGAUACUCCUGGGCUCGAGCACUGUAGAGGCAGGUGGAAUUCCGGGUGUAGCGGUGGAAUGCGUAGAGAUCCGGAAGAACACCGGUGGCGAAGGCGGCCUGCUGGGCAGUAGCUGACGCUGAGGCGCGACAGCGUGGGGAGCAAACAGG